UUGGUUCUCCCGCAACGCUACUCUGUUCACCAGGUCAGGUCCGGAAGGAAGCAGCCAAGGCAGAUGACGCGUGUGCCGGGAUGUAGCUGG
rnacentral:SRP_RNA from 1 species